GAGGUUGUGGCUCAGUGGUAGAGCACUUGCCUAGCAUGCGUGAGGCACAGGGUUCAAUCCCCAGCACCACA
rnacentral:tRNA from 1 species